CAGCCGCCGCGGUAAUACGGAGGGCGCGAGCGUUACCCGGAUUUACUGGGCGUAAAGGGCGUGUAGGCGGCCUGGGGCGUCCCAUGUGAAAGGCCACGGCUCAACCGUGGAGGAGCGUGGGAUACGCUCAGGCUAGAGGGUGGGAGAGGGUGGUGGAAUUCCCGGAGUAGCGGUGAAAUGCGCAGAUACCGGGAGGAACGCCGAUGGCGAAGGCAGCCACCUGGUCCACUUCUGACGCUGGGGCGCGAAAGCGUGGGGAGCAAACCGGAUUAGAUACCCCAGUAGUCCCUGUCUCUUAUAU
rnacentral:rRNA from 1 species